AUACGUAGGGAGCGAGCGUUGUCCGGAAUUACUGGGUGUAAAGGGGGCGUAGGCGGGAGUGCAAGUCAGAUGUGAAAUACAUGGGCUCAACCCAUGGGCUGCAUUUGAAACUGCAUUUCUUGAGUGAAGUAGAGGUAAGCGGAAUUCCUGGUGUAGCGGUGAAAUGCGUAGAUAUCAGGAGGAACACCGGUGGCGAAGGCGGCUUACUGGGCUUUUACUGACGCUGAGGCUCGAAAGCGUGGGGAGCAAACAGGAUUAGAUACCCUGGUAGUCCACGUUGUAAACGAUGAUUACUAGGUGUGGGGGGACUGACCCCUUCCGUGCCGCAGUUAACACAAUAAGUAAUCCACCUGGGGAGUACGGCCGCAAGGUUGAAACUCAAAUGAAUUGACGGGG
rnacentral:rRNA from 1 species